rnacentral:rRNA from 1 species
GACGAACGCUGGCGGCGUGCCUAACACAUGCAAGUCGAACGGAAAGGCCCUGCUUCUGUGGGGUGCUCGAGUGGCGAACGGGUGAGUAACACGUGAGUAACCUGCCCCUGACUUUGGGAUAACUUCAGGAAACUGGGGCUAAUACCGGAUAGGAGCUCCUGCUGCACGGUGGGGGUUGGAAAGUUUCGGCGGUUGGGGAUGGACUCGCGGCUUAUCAGCUUGUUGGUGGGGUAGUGGCGUACCAAGGCUUUGACGGGUAGCCGGCCUGAGAGGGUGGCCGGCCACAUUGGGCCUGCGAUACGGCCCAGACUCCUACGGGAGGCAGCGGUGGGGAAUAUUGCACAAUGGGCGGGAGCCUGAUGCAGCAACGCCGCGUGCGGAAUGACGGCCUUCGGGUUGUAAACCGCUUUCGCCUGUGACGAAGCGUGAGUGACGGUAAUGGGUAAAGAAGCACCGGCUAACUACGUG